UACGUAGGGUGCGAGCGUUGUCCGGAAUUAUUGGGCGUAAAGAGCUCGUAGGCGGUGUGUCGCGUCGGUCGUGAAAACUUUCAGCUUAACUGGGAGCUUGCGGUCGAUACGGGCAUCACUGGAGUUCGGCAGGGGAGACUGGAAUUCCUGGUGUAGCGGUGAAAUGCGCAGAUAUCAGGAGGAACACCGGUGGCGAAGGCGGGUCUCUGGGCCGAUACUGACACUGAGGAGCGAAAGCGUGGGGAGCGAACAGG
rnacentral:rRNA from 1 species